rnacentral:rRNA from 1 species
UACGGGGGGGGCAAGCGUUGUUCGGAAUUACUGGGCGUAAAGGGCGCGUAGGCGGCGCGGUAAGUCACUUGUGAAAUCUCUGAGCUUAACUCAGAACGGCCAAGUGAUACUGCAGUGCUAGAGUGUGGAAGGGGCAAUCGGAAUUCUUGGUGUAGCGGUGAAAUGCGUAGAUAUCGAGAGGAACACCUGAGGCGAAGGCGGGUUGCUAGGCUGACACUGACGCUGAGGCGCGAAAGCUAGGGUAGCAAACGGG